AAAUAAUUAAAUAUAUAAAUAGAAGGAUGCUACAGAGUUCUAAUUGAUGACUAAAAUUGUGGUAAGCAACAGAUCCUAAUUAAGGUUUAUCACAUCGAUACAAUGUUUUGGGAUUUUUAAAUCUCUAAAACAGCACAACAAUUGAAUCAUCAAAAUUACACAAAAUUACUUACAAGAAUGAUAAUUUAUGAUUAUCAAAACACAAUUUAGUGAAGCCAUUAUUAGCCUGAGGACGCUUCAAUUUCAGAAGAUGAGAUAGACCUGCAAUUUCAUGUAGCCGACUGUCUUUGCCAACGCCCUCCUGUUUUUGUCCAACACUUCAACACUUGUUAAUAACCUUUUCUAGCUAAUUUUGCUCCACUAUGCAGAUGUCUUGAUUCAUCAGAUGCCAUAAAGGAAUUUCCUGAACAAGUUGAGGCAAUGGAACUGGCUUGUGAACAAGAAACUCUCUACACACUUGCUGCAUUGUUGGUCGAGAUUUUGGGUUGAAUCGCAGACAUGCUAGUGCUAAUGUGACCACAAGAAUCACACUUUGAGCAACCACGCUGUUGGUGGGAGGAAGGAGACGUGAAUCAAACACAUCUUUCAACAUUAUGUGUGGAUCUGAUGGUGAUGAUGGUAAUGAGGAAAGAAGUUCUCCAGGAUGCUUUCCCAUAACUAUUUCCAGUGCUACCACUCCAAAGCUAUACACAUCGCAUUUUUCAUUCACGACCAUAGUAUAUGCAAGCUCUGGAGCAAUAUAUCCAUGCGUGCCAGCAAGUAUAGUUUGGUUGGAUGAAUCAGGAUAAAGAAAUCUUGCUGUUCCAAAAUCAGAUACAAUACCCUCCCAAUCAGAGUUCAACAAAAUGUUGUUGCUUGAUAUGUCUCGAUGAACAAUUGGUGUGCUACAAUCAUGAUGCAAGUAUGAUAAAGCAUAUGCCAUUCCUUUCACAAUGUUCACCCUUUUCAUCCAAUCUAAUUCCGCAGCUUCUUCCUCAUUUCUUAGUACACAGAAUAAACUUCCCCUUUCGAUGUACUCAUAAAUCAAGAACAUUGAUCUUCGAUGUAAACAGAAACCAUGCAGCUUGACAAUGUUCUUGUGACGAAUUUCUGUUAACAGUUUCACCUCAUUCUUGAAACAUUUGUCAAAACUUGGCUCCUCUGCUUCCAUUCUGUGGAGUUUCUUCAAGGCAAUUACUCUGCCGCUAGGAAGUUGUGCCUUAUAAACACUCCCAUAGCCACCAGUUCCAAUGCAGCAUCUAAUGUCGAAAUUGUCAGUUGCUUCAAUGACAUCUUCAAAGGCAAUCCUGCCAUCAUAGUUCCAUACUGAGAAUAUGUCCCCAUUUCUUGAUUCUUUUGUCUCAGUUUGUGAAUUCUUGAUCUUGUGCCGACGAUAGAGGAAUAAUGAUCCGGGAAUCAAGAAGGCAAGAAACAAGGUAAUGGGAAGAAAGAUCUUUGAAUAGUGCAUCCACUUAUUUGAGUUUGCAGAGCCAAUGCUUGCUGGGGGUGAAAAGCAAACAUUAUUUAUUUCGUCUCUGUAUAAACCCUUGUUGCCGACAAAACUAUCAAUGGGAAAGCGUCUACUCAAAUUACACGGAAUUGGACCAGUGAAAUUGUUAAAUGAAAAAUUGAUUUUAUGAAGGGAAGCAUCAAAGUCAGGAAUGGUGCCAGUAAGAUUAUUGAAGCUUAAAUCCAGAAGUCCCAAGUGCUGCAAGGACACUGCCUGAGUAGGUAUCUCUCCACUGAUUAAGUUAUGGCUGAGAUUUAAAGUGUUUAACUUGGCCAGGUAAUUAAUACCGCGAGGGAUGGGCCCUUCCAAUUUAUUUUGGGAAAGGUCUAAAUGUCGAAGCAUCAAAA
rnacentral:misc_RNA from 1 species